rnacentral:rRNA from 1 species
UACGAAGGGGGCGAGCGUUGUCCGGAAUUAUUGGGCGUAAAGAGCUCGUAGGCGGUGUGUCGCGUCGGCCGUGAAAACCUGCAGCUUAACUGCGGGCUUGCAGCCGAUACGGGCGGGCUGGAGUUCGGUAGGGGAGACUGGAAUUCCUGGUGUAGCGGUGAAAUGCGCAGAUAUCAGGAGGAACACCGGUGGCGAAGGCGGGUCUCUGGGCCGAUACUGACGCUGAGGAGCGAAAGCGUGGGGAGCGAACAGG